rnacentral:rRNA from 1 species
GACGAACGCGGCGGCGUGCCUAAUACAUGCAAGUCGAGCGAAGUUUUUCUGGUGCUUGCACUAGAAAAACUUAGCGGCGAACGGGUGAGUAACACGUAAAGAACCUGCCUCAUAGACUGGGACAACUAUUGGAAACGAUAGCUAAUACCGGAUAACAGCAUUAACUGCAUGGUUGAUGUUUGAAAGUUGGUUAUGCUAACACUAUGAGAUGGCUUUGCGGUGCAUUAGCUAGUUGGUGGGGUAAAGGCCCACCAAGGCGACGAUGCAUAGCCGACCUGAGAGGGUGAUCGGCCACACUGGGACUGAGACACGGCCCAGACUCCUACGGGAGGCAGCAGUAGGGAAUCUUCCGCAAUGGGCGAAAGCCUGACGGAGCAACGCCGCGUGAGUGAAGAAGGAUUUCGGUUCGUAAAGCUCUGUUGUUAGGGAAGAAUGGAUAUGUAGUAACUAUACAUGUAAGAGACG